AAUGAUGUGCCUGACUAAAGGAUUACAAUGAUAAAGUAACUCAUGUAUUUUUACCUUCAUUA
rnacentral:tRNA from 1 species